AAAUCGUGAUGGGGGCACUGAGUUGUGUAGCUUUUAAACCUCUCCCAAGCUUCACAGAAAGUUUCAUUGUUUUGGUGGUUGAAACCCGAGAUCUUGUUCCUCAAUCU
rnacentral:snoRNA from 1 species